GUGUGAGGUGGUGCUAUGUAGCAGGAACCCCUCUUGCUUUGCAAAUAGUUUUUUGUUUGUUUUCCUUUUUGCCCAAUAGAGCCCUGCUCUACUGACCCUUCAAUGUGCCCGUGUGCCUAAAUAUUCCUGGUCGUGUGAAAAGAACCCAGGUAUUAGCUGAACUAAGGAGCACAAUUCUGCAACAUUUUGGCACCCAAACACGGGGCUUGAGAAAUGAAUGCAAUUGGAGAAACUGGUUGUUUUACCAGGCGUUGAUUGGAAAUGUGUGCUUCCCUUUAAGCAGUCAAGCUCAACUUGCAGAACUGAUGGGAACCCCUUGGGAAAACUGGCCUCAAAUGUUUGUCUACACAGUCCACAUACAGGGUUCUUAACCUGCGUUUUUACCUACAUUUUAGACUGACCCUGCUUGUGCCUGUGAACCAACCAACAAUCUCUGGCUGCAGCUCAGAAAGGACAAAAGAGAAUGGAUGAGGGAAACUUCCCAGGGCUUGUCUGGGUAUGCCCACAGUGGACUGGAGCCCAAAAUGCACACUGGAGGAAGUGGAUGGAGCCACGUGGAUGUCAUGCCUUAUGCAGGGGAGGAGCCUGCUCUCUUCAGCUCCUGUGGUAAUGUGGGAAUCGAUCUGUGAGGUGAGGACCUGUUAGCAGGAACCCCUCUUGCUUUGCUGAAAGUUUUAUUUUUCUUUUUGCCCUAUAAAACCCUGUUCUACUAACCCUUCAAUAUGUCUGCAUUCCUAAAUUUUCCUGGUCAUGUGACGAGAACCUAGGUUUUAGCUGAACUAAGGAGCAAAAUUCUGCAACAUAAAGUCAAAGAAAACUAUGCCUAUAUCCAUUAAAUCAAAUGUUAAAAAGCAAAUAUAAAGAAAAAGUCUUCACAGCCCUAGAGAAAAGUGAAACAUUGUACAUAAAGAAGUAAUAAUUUGAAUGGAUUGUCAGAAACCAUGACUAGAAGACAGAGGAGCAAUAUUUUCAAAUUUCAUAGAGAAAGGAAAAAAAGAAAA
rnacentral:lncRNA from 1 species